UACAGAGGGUGCGAGCGUUGUUCGGAAUUACUGGGCGUAAAGAGCGUGUAGGCGGUUUAGCAAGUCAGAUGUGAAAGCCCAGAGCCUAACUCUGGAAGUGCAUUUGAAACUGCUAGGCUUGAGUACAGUAGAGGUUGGCGGAAUACCCAGUGUAGAGGUGAAAUUCGUAGAUAUUGGGUAGAACACCGGUGGCGAAGGCGGCCAACUGGGCUGUAACUGACGCUGAGACGCGAAAGCGUGGGGAGCAAACAGG
rnacentral:rRNA from 1 species